GACGAACGCUGGCGGCGUGCUUAACACAUGCAAGUCGAGCGGUAAGGCCCUUUCGGGGGUACGACGAGCGGCGAACGGGUGAGUAACACGUGGGUGACCUGCCCUUAGCUCUGGGAUAAGCCUGGGAAACUGGGUCUAAUACCGGGAUAUGACUCCAUGACGCAUGUUGUGGGGUGGAAAGCCUUGUGCGGCUAGGGAUGGGCCCGCGGCCUAUCAGCUUGUUGGUGGGGUGAUGGCCUACCAAGGCGACGACGGGUAGCCGGCCUGAGAGGGCGACCGGCCACACUGGGACUGAGACACGGCCCAGACUCCUACGGGAGGCAGCAGUGGGGAAUCUUGCGCAAUGGGCGAAAGCCUGACGCAGCGACGCCGCGUGAGGGAU
rnacentral:rRNA from 1 species